UUAUAUUAUGUUAGUUUGAGCUCACCUUGCAAUGUCUGUAAACAUUGUCCUGUUUUAAUGUCCCAGAUUUUGACUGUAGAAUCAGCAUUUCCAGACACGAGUAUAUUGUCCUUAAGUUCCAUUCCACUCGUCAAAGACUGGUGGCCUGUGAGUGUGUGAAUGCAGUUUCCUGUCUCCACAUCCCAAACUCGGAUGGAGGUGUCAAGAGAUCCGCUCACCACAUGGAUACCAUCAAACUGCAAGAAAGUCCUCAGCCAUGAGUGUAGGCUAACACCAGUGACAACUGACUACGAGCUUCCACGAGAAUGGAGAAAAAACACACAUACAGCAAAGUUGUUUUAAGACCAUCGUAGAGACGGCUGAUGCUAUUUUGAGAAGUCAUGGAAGACAGACAAGACUUCAGGUGGCAGUGCCUGGAAUUGAUGCUUUCACUCCACGAAUGAACAAGAUGAUCUUUUGGAAUAGUAAAGUUUAUACUUUUUAAAGCCUUUUUAGGCAAGCACAGAAGUGAGAAGGAAUUAAUAUUAGUGGCACAGAUAAAGAAAAACCUCCGCAUUCUUCAAAAAAGAAAUGUAACCAACGGGCACUUGGACAGCAGCACCAUACCACAGCCACGUAAAGUAGCUCUGCCAAUGUUCCUUGAAUCAAGAAUUUCUACUGCAGAAAUUAUGAUACAGUAAGUUAAAAUUUUAAUAAAG